rnacentral:rRNA from 1 species
ACGCUGGCGGUAUGCCUUAUACAUGCAAGUCGUACGGGAGUUUUUAACUCAAGUGGCGGACGGGUGAGUAACACGUAAGAAUUUGCCUUUAGGAGGGGGAUAACAACUGGAAACGGUUGCUAAUACCCCAUAUGCUUUCGAGUGAAAUGGAUUUCCGCCUAAAGAGAAGCUUGCGGCUGAUUAGCUUGUUGGUGAGGUAAUGGCUCACCAAGGCGACGAUCAGUAUCUGGUUUGAGAGGACGAUCAGACACACUGGAACUGAGACACGGUCCAGACUCCUACGGGAGGCAGCAGUAGGGAAUUUUCCGCAAUGGGCGAAAGCCUGACGGAGCAAUACCGCGUGAGGGAUGACUGCCUAUGGGUUGUAAACCUCUUUUUUCAGGGAGGAACACAAUGACGUGUACCUGAAGAAUAAGCACCGGCUAACUCCGUGCC